rnacentral:rRNA from 1 species
UACGGGGGGGGCAAGCGUUGUUCGGAAUUACUGGGCGUAAAGGGCGCGUAGGCGGUCUGUUAAGUCGGAUGUGAAAACUCUGGGCUCAACCCAGAGCCUGCAUCCGAAACUGGCAGGCUAGAGUUCUGGAGGGGGUAGCGGAAUUCCUGGUGUAGCGGUGAAAUGCGUAGAUAUCAGGAGGAACACCGGUGGCGAAGGCGGCGGCCUGGACAGAAACUGACGCUGAGACGCGAAAGCCAGGGGAGCGAACGGG